rnacentral:rRNA from 1 species
GGGUUGUGAGGUUAAGCGACUAAGCGUACACGGUGGAUGCCCUGGCAGUCAGAGGCGAUGAAGGACGUGCUAAUCUGCGAUAAGCGUCGGUAAGGUGAUAUGAACCGUUAUAACCGGCGAUUUCCGAAUGGGGAAACCCAGUGUGAUUCGUCACACUAUCAUUAACUGAAUCCAUAGGUUAAUGAGGCGAACCGGGGGAACUGAAACAUCUAAGUACCCCGAGGAAAAGAAAUCAACCGAGAUUCCCCCAGUAGCGGCGAGCGAACGGGGAGGAGCCCAGAGCCUGAAUCAGUGUGUGUGUUAGUGGAAGCGUCUGGAAAGGCGCGCGAUACAGGGUGACAGCCCCGUACACAAAAAUGCACAUACUGUGAGCUCGAUGAGUAGGGCGGGACACGUGGUAUCCUGUCUGAAUAUGGGGGGACCAUCCUCCAAGGCUAAAUACUCCUGACUGACCGAUAGUGAACCAGUACCGUGAGGGAAAGGCGAAAAGAACCCCGGUGAGGGGAGUGAAAAAGAACC